AUUGAACGCUGGCGGCAUGCCUUACACAUGCAAGUCGAACGGCAGCACGGACUUCGGUCUGGUGGCGAGUGGCGAACGGGUGAGUAAUGUAUCGGAACGUACCUUUCAGUGGGGGAUAACGUAGCGAAGGUUACGCUAAUACCGCAUAUUCUGUGAGCAGGAAAGCAGGGGAUCGCAAGACCUUGCGCUGAUUGAGCGGCCGAUAUCAGAUUAGGUAGUUGGUGGGGUAAAGGCUCACCAAGCCAACGAUCUGUAGCUGGUCUGAGAGGACGACCAGCCACACUGGAACUGAGACACGGUCCAGACUCCUACGGGAGGCAGCAGUGGGGAAUUUUGGACAAUGGGGGAAACCCUGAUCCAGCCAUGCCGCGUGAGUGAAGAAGGCC
rnacentral:rRNA from 1 species